rnacentral:rRNA from 1 species
UACAGAGGUCUCGAGCGUUAGGCGGAAUCACUGGGCUUAAAGCGUGUGUAGGCGGGUCGUUAAGUGCCUUGUGAAAUCCCAUGGCUCAACCAUGGAACUGCUGGGCAUACUGGCGAUCUUGUGCCACCUAGGGGCGAGCGGAACAGAUGGUGGAGCGGUGAAAUGCGUAGAUAUCAUCUGGAACGCCAAUGGUGAAAACAGCUCGCUGGGGGUGCACUGACACUGAGACACGAAAGCCAGGGAAGCGAACGGG